rnacentral:rRNA from 1 species
CGACGGGCGAUGUGUACAUAUUUUAUAACUAAAAUCAAAUAAUUAAUCUAUAUUAUUUUACUAUCAAAUCCACUUUCAAUAAAAUAUUUCAAUUUUACAUUCAUUUAAAUUUAUUUAUUGUAACCCAUAAUAAAACUUAAAUAUAAGCUACACCUUUAUCUGAUAUAAAUUUUUAUAUAAAUUAAAGAAAAUUAUUAAUUUUUUAAAAAUAUUCUUAUAACGACGAUAUAUAAACUAAAACAAAUUUAAGUAAGAUUCAACGUGGAAUAUCAAUUAAUAUACAGGUUCCUCUGAAUAGAAUAAAAUACCGCCAAAUUUUUUAAGUUUCAAGAUCAUAACUAAUACUACUCAAAUAAAUAAUAAAUACAUUNAUAAUAAUAGGGUAUCUAAUCCUA